rnacentral:rRNA from 1 species
AUCCAGAGAUGGAUGUGUCUCUUCGGAGACGGUAUGACAGGUGCUGCAUGGCUGCGUCAGCUCGUGCCGUGAGGUGUUGGGUUAAGUCCCGCAACGAGCGCAACCCCUAUCUUUAGUUGCCAUCAGUUCGGCUGGGCACUCUAUGAGACUGCCACCUAAAGUGGAGGAAGGUGGGGAUGACGUCAAGUCAGCAUGGCCCUUACUCCGGGGCUACACACGUGCUACAAUGGCCGGUACAAAGGGUUGCGAAGCCGUGAGGUGGAGCGAAUCUCAAAAAGCCGGCCUCAGUUCGGAUUGGAGGCUGCAACUCGCCUCCAUGAAGUCGGAAUCGCUAGUAACCGCAGAUCAGCUACGUUGCGGUGAAUACGUUCCCGGGCCUU